CCAUCGGUUCUUUUCAGAGCCAUCAAAUUUGUGGUUAAAAGAGAAAU
rfam:Aedes aegypti strain Liverpool supercont1.329 genomic scaffold, whole genome shotgun sequence.